GAGAGUGCGAAGAAGCCAUGGCCAUGUACAACUACUUCUAGUCUUCGAUGCAAGUGUGGUAUUCUGGCCACAAAAGGCGUAGUUCCUUCUGAGCUUGGCUACGGAUAUUACUGUGGCAAUAGCUACGGAGAGUAUUGGGAGGGAAGGACAUGUGAUUGGGAGUGGUUCGAAGGCCGGUAUGAGCUAAUGUUGCAAUUGGGCAGAA